GGUCUAGAGGACAGAAUUUUUCAACGGGUGUGCCAAUGGCCACUUUCCAGGUGGCAAAGCCCGUUGAGCUUCUCAAAUCUGAGAAGUGGCACCAGAACCGGAGGACAAAGUC
rnacentral:misc_RNA from 1 species